rnacentral:rRNA from 1 species
GAUGAACGCUGGCGGCGUGCCUAAUACAUGCAAGUCGAGCGAACGGACGAGAAGCUUUCUUUUCUGAUGUUAGCGGCUGACGGGUGAGUAACACGUGGAUAACCUACCUAUAAUACUUGGAUAACUUCGGGAAACCGGAGCUAAUACCGGAUAAUAUUUUGAACCGCAUGGUUCAAAAGUGAAAGACGGUCUUGCUGUCACUUAUAGAUGGAUCCGCGCUGCAUUAGCUAGUUGGUAAGGUAACGGCUUACCAAGGCAACGAUGCAUAGCCGACCUGAGAGGGUGAUCGGCCACACUGGAACUGAGACACGGUCCAGACUCCUACGGGAGGCAGCAGUAGGGAAUCUUCCGCAAAGGGCGAAAGCCUGACGGAGCAACGCCGCGUGAGUGAUGAAGGUCUUCGGAUCGUAAAACUCUGUUAUUAGGGAAGAACAUAUGUGUAAGUAACUGUGCACAUCUUGACGGUACCUAGUCAGAAAGCCACGGCUAACUACGUG